rnacentral:rRNA from 1 species
GACGAACGCUGGCGGCGUGCUUAACACAUGCAAGUCGAGCGAUGAAGUUCCUUCGGGAACGGAUUAGCGGCGGACGGGUGAGUAACACAUGGGUAACCUGCCUCAUAGAGGGGAAUAGCCUUCCGAAAGGAAGAUUAAUACCGCAUAAGAUUGUAGUUUCGCAUGAAACAGCAAUUAAAGGAGUAAUCCGCUAUGAGAUGGACCCGCGUCGCAUUAGCUAGUUGGUGAGGUAACGGCUCACCAAGGCGACGAUGCGUAGCCGACCUGAGAGGGUGAUCGGCCACAUUGGGACUGAGACACGGCCCAGACUCCUACGGGAGGCAGCAGUGGGGAAUAUUGCACAAUGGGGGAAACCCUGAUGCAGCAACGCCGCGUGAGUGAUGACGGUCUUCGGAUUGUAAAACUCUGUCUUCAGGGACGAUAAUGACGGUACCUGAGGAGGGAGCCACGGCUAACUACGUGCCAGCCGCCGCAGUAA